rnacentral:lncRNA from 1 species
UUGGCUUGCUCAUUUUCCUUCCUAUCUUUUUCUUUUUAAUUGUCUCUCUUUUCUUUUCUCUCAUUCCUCACAUCCACAAUUUCAUCUCUCUCUUCUUUUUUUUUAAAAGAUGCUUCGAUCGAACCCUAUGUAGGUUGCCCACGUAUCAUGUCCCUCAUGAAUCAGAUCAAGCAUAGUUCUGGAAAAGUGAUGGAUAAAAUAAACUAAAAUAAAUCUUUUUGAAUUUUCCAUUUAUAACUUUUUUUGUUUUUCAAAUACAAAAUAGGAAGUACUAUAACAAAAGACUCGAAAAUCUUAACUAGACUGACAGACUCGAUACUACUGUACAAGACAACAUAAAAUAGACUAAAAAUAAAAAGUUUCCUCAAGCAACUCGUGCAUGGAAUGGUCUUGACUAGAAUGGUCCUGGGGUAUUUGUCAUGCUCAAACUCUAGCAAAUUGAUCCAUACCUGAAUGGGAAAAAUAAGAUCAAAUAGAGUUAGUGACUCAAGAUACAUGUGACGCCACGACACCUUCUAUUGGACACAUGCAAGGCAUGAUUAAGGCUUUUUGCAAAAUGACCUAUGUGGCCAAGAUGACUAGAAAUGUAAACUCAACAAAGGUGACCUCAAAGACAUGAAAAUACCUCACUAAAGCAUAUAUGGAUUCAACUCCCAAUAAUCAUGGCCCAAAAUCAAUUUGUAGAAAUGACCCAUUUUGCAAAAACGGCUGAUAUGGCCAGAAGUAGCCAAAGAUGCAAACUCAAAAAGGAUGAACCUUAAAGUAUUAUGACACCUAGUUGUGGAAUCAAGAUCCUAAGACAUGGGUUAUUGAACCACUUUUGCGAAAAUGACCCCAUUUUGCAAGAAUGGCCGAUGUGGCCAAAAGUGGCUAAACAUGUAAGAUAUGGCUAAGACCCCGCAAAGCCAAGAACCUAAGACUUACUAGGAAGAUCGGACCCUAUGUGGGUUGCCUAUGUAUCAUGUCCCGAAAGACGAGAAUCAGGAAUGCGUAGCUCGGGAAGAUUGGACAUGGGAGAAAGCUUAAAAAAUGACACUAAUUUGGAAAAAAUAUAUUUCUUUGUCUUUUUGAGAAAUGAUGGAAAAUGUAAAAUCUUUUUGGAUUUUCAUUUUUUGAUUUUUUGGAAAAUGAGGGGAAAGUGCAAAAUCUUUUUGGAUUUUUCAUUUUCGUUUUUUUAUUUUAUUUUUUGAAAAAUGAUGGGAAAGUGUAAAAUCUUUUUGGAUUAUUCAUUUUCAUUUUUUUUUGAAAAGGUUGUGAAAACAAAUAUAACUGGGCCCUACUUGCAUCAUUUUUUACCCUUCUUUCCCAAGCAUCGGUCCGUCAAAUGACCUUUUUACCCUCAAAGGUGCAACAUGUAUCACAUAGGGAUGAUUGAUUGUAUUUUUAGGCAACGGGCCCAUUUUUGACAAAAUUUGGAUAGGCUUCCUACAAAGGGACACGGUGCCUGGGAUCGAGCCCUACUAGGUCCAAAUGACAUGAUGCAAAUAAAAAUGACCUACAGGCUGACCUAAAUUUGGGGUUCACUCGACAAGGCAAUUCGUGGUGGCACGUGGUCGAUGGCGGCUGCUCUAGCUGUUCGCCCACUCCACGCUCCCAUGCCACCCUCUAAAGACACGAGUCACUCAAAAAAGGACCGUGUACGCUCAAACGUACUCCGAAAGACUUGUUACAAAAAAAAAGACUCAGGGUUAUGCAACUGAUGACAAUUUAUAAAGCAGUAACACAUAAAGGAAAAACUGUAAACGAAUAAGCAACUAGCAAAUAAUAAAACGACAUAAACAAAAAUAAAAAUCAAAUAAAGCAAACAAAACACAUAAAAACCUCAACCGAUCAUCCUUAAAAGCCAACAAGAUCAAGUACUAGCUCGAACCUGUAAAUCCCCAGCAGAGUCGCCAGAGAUGUCACACCCUCUUUUUUUACCAAACCUCUACUUCAUCGCUCUUAAAAAAAUAAAUAAAAGAGAUUUGUAAAUCUCGAAAGGGUUUUUCAAUUAGAAAGUGACAAAAAUUUGUGUUCAAAAGGAAAUAACUCCGAGUCGUCACCUGACAUUGAUUUUGGUGUGUCAGGCCACCGUUUUUUUUAAAAAUAAUUUUUUCCUUUAAAACACUUUAGACUCCAAAACUAAAUCUGCACCAGAGACUGGGCAAGGGGGUUCAUUUGACUCGGGGAGAAGGUGUUAGGCACUCCCCAAGUCCCGUAACUAGUACGGUUGCAUACUUGAUCAAGUCGGCUUUUAAGAUAUUCAAAUUGAGGUAAUAACACAUAAAAAGAAAAUAAACAAUCAAAAGAGGCUCGAGGUCGUCCACACCUAAAUGAAAGAAAAUUAAAAGAAGAAAAAUUAAAGUUCUAAAUUAUCCUACGCUAUUUCUUCUACGAUGUUCGCCACGACCUCUAAUUACAUUCACUUCGGGGCAUGCCCCUGCAAUAAAAUAUAUACAAAUCCCUCGGGGCAUUCUCCGGAUAAAUUUAACUAAGGGAACGACCCCUCGCCUCGAAACUAACAAAAUCCUAAGGCUUGCUACCCGAGUGUGGUCGGCCUAAGCAUGCUACUAGUGAUUUCAAGCAAACAAGAUAAAACUAUUAAUGGGAUGAAUUUAAUUUCCCAUUCUAUAUGUCCAAAACCCCAUAUUCAAUACAGAACUCCAAUCAAUCUACUUAUAUAUGUAUAAUUAAUCCUUUUGUCAUCUGAAUAGUAACUAUAACAAUUAAAUAUAGAAUCAAAACUCACUCUAACUAUCAAAAUUCAUCCAAACAUAUUAAACUAAACAGCAAUAAAAUGACGUUCAAAGACAGAACAAUAAUAGAUUAACCAAACAAUAAGAGCAUGAUGUUAAGCAAACAAGGAGUAGAAGGGAAAUGAGAAAUCGACCUCAAUGAACCUGAAGUUUCAUUGUAUGGCAACUUCACAAAAUGCCGGAACCGCAGAUGAAAACUCGAAUCGGCGCCAGAAGCUCGAAACCAAAACAACUUCCAUCAAAUUCAGUCAGAUUCCAUGGUUUCAAGAUCAAAAAUUAGACAAAGAAGCUAAAAUCCGAAAUCGGACUUAGGACAGAACUAAAAUAACGACUAGCUAACUGACACAGCCAACGCUUCUAUUUUCUUCAGGAUAUGCUGCAAUGAUGUAAUAUUACAAUAAGUUUAUCUUUUGUUGUUCACUAAUCUUACAUAUGUGACCAAAGAAAAUGGCUGUCCAAGGUUGAAGAUGAAGACAGAUAUUUUUUUUAGAUUUUGAUCUAUGAUGGCUUUUUGUUCAGCUGCUGUUGAUUCAUUUCAUGUUGAAGAAGAAGCUUGGGUGGUCGUUGAUGGCGUUAGGCUGGCGGGCGGCUAGCUAGUUGACUGGUUGAGAGUCGCCGGCGUUGCUUUGGCUUGGAGAUGAAGAAGAAGAUGAAGGAGUGCCUGGCGGCGGUUUUCGGCGAGCUGCUGGUUCAGUGAAGGUGGGUGGAGAUGCGACUGCUUGUGUCUAGGGUUCAACGGUCCUUGUAGUGUGAUCAAGGGUUGAAGAAGGCAGCCAUGGGUCCUAAAGUUGUCCUCUAGGGUUUGUCUUGUGUAGGUUAUGAAGAAGAAGGGUCUUGAACUUGGGCCUUUGGUGGUGGGUUUGAAAUUGGGCUCCAUUUGAACAAGAAAAACUGAAAUUUUCAUUAAUAAAUCCAAGUUUCUUCCAAAUUAGUAUAAAAUAUUUGUAAACACAUAAAAUCGCUCCUAAUU